rnacentral:rRNA from 1 species
UCGAGCGGCGAACGGGUGAGUAACACGUGAGCAACCUGCCCCUGACUCUGGGAUAAGCCCGGGAAACUGGGUCUAAUACCGGAUACGACCGCCCCCGGCAUCGGGUGGUGGUGGAAAGUUUUUUCGGUUGGGGAUGGGCUCGCGGCCUAUCAGCUUGUUGGUGGGGUAGUGGCCUACCAAGGCGACGACGGGUAGCCGGCCUGAGAGGGCGACCGGCCACACUGGGACUGAGACACGGCCCAGACUCCUACGGGAGGCAGCAGUGGGGAAUAUUGCGCAAUGGGCGGAAGCCUGACGCAGCGACGCCGCGUGGGGGAUGACGGCCUUCGGGUUGUAAACCUCUUUCAGCAGGGACGAAGUUGACGUGUACCUGCAGAAGAAGCGCCGGCUAACUACGUGCCAGCAGCCGCGGUAAUACGUAGGGCGCAAGCGUUGUCCGGAAUUAUUGGGCGUAAAGAGCUCGUAGGUGGCUGGUCGCGU